AAAGUGGCGAACGGGUGAGUAACACGUAAGUAAUCUGCCCUCGGAUUCGGGAUAACCCUUGCUAACGCGGGGGCUAAUACCGUAUAACGCGAUAAGUCCGCAUGGACAUGUCGUUAAAGGUGGGGAUCUUUUCAAGACCUAUUGUCUGAGGAUGAGCUUGCGGUCCAUUAGCUUGUUGGUGAGGUAACGGCUCACCAAGGCUUCGAUGGAUAGCCGGCCUAAGAGGGCGACCGGCCACACUGGGACUGAGAUACGGCCCAGACUCCUACGGGAGGCAGCAGUAAGGAAUAUUGCGCAAUGGCCUAACGGCUGACGCAGCAACGCCGCGUGACUGAUGAAGCAUCUCGAUGUGUAAAAGUCUGUUAGGAGGGAUGAAAAUUACCGCUUGGAUAACGGGCGGUACUUGACACUACCUCCAGAGAAAGCUCCGGCUAACUCCGUGCCAGCAGCCGCGGUAAUACGGAGGGAGCAAGCGUUGUCCGGAAUCACUGGGCGUAAAGGGCAUGUAGGCGGAUUGUUAAGUCAGAAGUGAAAUCUACCCGCUUAACGGGUAAACUGCUUUUGAAACUGGCAGUCUUGAGUUCUGGAGAGGUGGGCGGAAUUCCAGGUGUAGCGGUGAAAUGUGUAGAUAUCUGGAAGAACAUCAGUAGCGAAGGCUGCUCUCUGGCCAGACACUGACGCUGAAAUGCGAAAGCGUGGGGAGCGAACAGGAUUAGAUACCCUGGUAGUCAAUCUGCAGAAUUCGCCCUUAGGGAGGCGUUGCAGAUGGACCCGCAGCAGCGCCCAUGGCACCGGCACCCAACUCGGCGACCCA
rnacentral:rRNA from 1 species